AUUGAACGCUGGCGGCAUGCUUUACACAUGCAAGUCGAACGGCAGCGCGGGCUUCGGCCUGGCGGCGAGUGGCGAACGGGUGAGUAAUACAUCGGAACGUGCCCAGUAGUGGGGGAUAGCUCGGCGAAAGCCGGAUUAAUACCGCAUACGACCUGAGGGUGAAAGCGGGGGAUCUUCGGACCUCGCGCUAUUGGAGCGGCCGAUGGCAGAUUAGCUAGUUGGUGGGGUAAAGGCCUACCCAGGCGACGAUCUGUAGCUGGUCUGAGAGGACGACCAGCCACACUGGGACUGAGACACGGCCCAGACUCCUACGGGAGGCAGCAGUGGGGAAUUUUGGACAAUGGGCGAAAGCCUGAUCCAGCAAUGCCGCGUGUGUGAUGAAGGCCUUCGGGUUGUAAAGCACUUUUGGCGGGAACGAAAAGGACUGUGCCAAUACCACGGUUCGAUGACGGUACCCGCAGAAUAAGCACCGGCUAACUACGUG
rnacentral:rRNA from 1 species